AGACCCGAAACCCGGUGAUCUAGCCAUGGGCAGGUUGAAGGUUGGGUAACACUAACUGGAGGACCGAACCGACUAAUGUUGAAAAAUUAGCGGAUGACCUGUGGCUGGGGGUGAAAGGCCAAUCAAACCGGGAGAUAGCUGGUUCUCCCCGAAAGCUAUUUAGGUAGCGCCUCGUGAAUUCAUCUCCGGGGGUAGAGCACUGUUUCGGCUAGGGGGCCAUCCCGGCUUACCAACCCGAUGCAAACUGCGAAUACCGGAGAAUGUUAUCACGGGAGACACACGGCGGGUGCUAACGUCCGUCGUGAAGAGGGAAACAACCCAGACCGCCAGCUAAGGUCCCAAAGUCAUGGUUAAGUGGGAAACGAUGUGGGAAGGCCCAGACAGCCAGGAUGUUGGCUUAGAAGCAGCCAUCAUUUAAAGAAAGCGUAAUAGCUCACUGGUCGAGUCGGCCUGCGCGGAAGAUGUAACGGGGCUAAACCAUGCACCGAAGCUGCGGCAGCGAACGUAUCACCCAAGACAACUUUACGGAGUUGACGAUUGACGGAGCGAAGCGACGUCAAAGCGUUCAUUAAAGUCGAGUUGGCUUAGGGAUACGUUCGUUGGGUAGGGGAGCGUUCUGUAAGCCUGUGAAGGUGUGUCGUGAGGCAUGCUGGAGGUAUCAGAAGUGCGAAUGCUGACAUAAGUAACGAUAAAGCGGGUGAAAAGCCCGCUCGCCGGAAGACCAAGGGUUCCUGUCCAACGUUAAUCGGGGCAGGGUGAGUCGACCCCUAAGGCGAGGCCGAAAGGCGUAGUCGAUGGGAAACGGGUUAAUAUUCCCGUACUUGGUGUUACUGCGAAGGGGGGACGGAGAAGGCUAUGUUGGCCGGGCGACGGUUGUCCCGGUUUAAGCGUGUAGGUGUGUGUUCCAGGUAAAUCCGGUUCACUUUAACACUGAGGCGUGACGACGAGGCACUACGGUGCUGAAGCAACAAAUGCCCUGCUUCCAGGAAAAGCCUCUAAGCAUCAGGUAACACGAAAUCGUACCCCAAACCGACACAGGUGGUCAGGUAGAGAAUACCAAGGCGCUUGAGAGAACUCGGGUGAAGGAACUAGGCAAAAUGGUGCCGUAACUUCGGGAGAAGGCACGCUGACACGUAGGUGAAGUGAUUUACUCAUGGAGCUGAAGUCAGUCGAAGAUACCAGCUGGCUGCAACUGUUUAUUAAAAACACAGCACUGUGCAAACACGAAAGUGGACGUAUACGGUGUGACGCCUGCCCGGUGCCGGAAGGUUAAUUGAUGGGGUCAGCGCAAGCGAAGCUCCUGAUCGAAGCCCCGGUAAACGGCGGCCGUAACUAUAACGGUCCUAAGGUAGCGAAAUUCCUUGUCGGGUAAGUUCCGACCUGCACGAAUGGCGUAAUGAUGGCCAGGCUGUCUCCACCCGAGACUCAGUGAAAUUGAACUCGCUGUGAAGAUGCAGUGUACCCGCGGCAAGACGGAAAGACCCCGUGAACCUUUACUAUAGCUUGACACUGAACAUUGAGCCUUGAUGUGUAGGAUAGGUGGGAGGCUUUGAAGUGUGGACGCCAGUCUGCAUGGAGCCGACCUUGAAAUACCACCCUUUAAUGUUUGAUGUUCUAACGUGGACCCGUAAUCCGGGUUGCGGACAGUGUCUGGUGGGUAGUUUGACUGGGGCGGUCUCCUCCUAAAGAGUAACGGAGGAGCACGAAGGUUGGCUAAUCCUGGUCGGACAUCAGGAGGUUAGUGCAAUGGCAUAAGCCAGCUUGACUGCGAGCGUGACGGCGCGAGCAGGUGCGAAAGCAGGUCAUAGUGAUCCGGUGGUUCUGAAUGGAAGGGCCAUCGCUCAACGGAUAAAAGGUACUCCGGGGAUAACAGGCUGAUACCGCCCAAGAGUUCAUAUCGACGGCGGUGUUUGGCACCUCGAUGUCGGCUCAUCACAUCCUGGGGCUGAAGUAGGUCCCAAGGGUAUGGCUGUUCGCCAUUUAAAGUGGUACGCGAGCUGGGUUUAGAACGUCGUGAGACAGUUCGGUCCCUAUCUGCCGUGGGCGCUGGAGAACUGAGGGGGGCUGCUCCUAGUACGAGAGGACCGGAGUGGACGCAUCACUGGUGUUCGGGUUGUCAUGCCAAUGGCACUGCCCGGUAGCUAAAUGCGGAAGAGAUAAGUGCUGAAAGCAUCUAAGCACGAAACUUGCCCCGAGAUGAGUUCUCCCUGAGACUUAGAGUCUCCUGAAGGAACGUUGAAGACG
rnacentral:rRNA from 1 species